rnacentral:rRNA from 1 species
CACGUAGGGCGCAAGCGUUGUCCGGAAUUAUUGGGCGUAAAGAGCUCGUAGGCGGUCUGUUGCGUCCGCUGUGAAAACUCGGGGCUUAACCCCGAGCCUGCAGUGGAUACGGGCAGACUAGAGGUAGGUAGGGGAGAAUGGAAUUCCCGGUGUAGCGGUGAAAUGCGCAGAUAUCAGGAAGAACACCCGUGGCGAAGGCGGCUCUCUGGGACGUGACUGACGCUGAGACGCGAAAGCGUGGGGAGCGAACAGG